rnacentral:lncRNA from 1 species
UCCUUAUCACUCCACCUGUAUUGAUUAUCAAAUAAAUUACAAAAAAAAUCACAUACAAUAUUUCCUUUCACAUACAUAGUAGAUGUGGCAAAUCUAAUAUUUUUUUAAUAAAUUUACGGGGAGUAUAUUACAACUUGCCUUAUCAACUAUCAUUACAAUUAACUCAAUUCAAAACACAAUUGAUUAACAGUUAAAAUAUAUUUAAAUCCAAAUCAAAAUAAAUUUGAACAAGAUUCACACUUGAUAGAUCUAAACUCAGAAUAAUUUGAGAAAAAACUCACAUAUAAUAUUUGUACAUAAUAAAAUUUGAAUUUAAAAUAUCAAAAUCUCAACCUUAUCGAUAAUUUAAAGAAAAAUGCAGAAUUCCAGGUGCGCUGGAAAACUCUCAAAUGGCCGGCGGGAAGAGGUGGGGCAGUUGCUUUCUCCUUGACAAUCCGCUGGUAUUCUCCACACAUUUCUUCCCGAAUUUGAAUUUUCAUCCAAGGGAAGGGACCCAUUUGUUCUCUCAUUUCAUUGUUGCAUUCUAUUAUCUGUACAAUUUGUAUGAGAUGGUAAGUGAAAGAGGGUGGCCCAGGAUCAGGAUUUCCUGAAUUGGUCCUUGGGGGGUGCAUCAUGACGGACAGAGUAUUUGAGGGUGGCUAUAUUUGACCUUUUAUAACUCAACCAUGGCUGGAAAGCUCCAAGUAGAAGGAAGCUCCUGCCUGGCUUUCGCUUUGCCUUCUUUCUCACUUUAUCUACAACUACCACUAUAAUUAAUUACAUACCACCAACUGUUUCAUUUUUGGGGGGCUUAAAUCCUGCAGUUAGAGAUGCAACCGCUUUGUAUUUCCUUAAACCAUUACUGCGGAUUGGGACCAUUUAUUUUUGAAGUGAGAGCAACUUAAUUAAGAGUUAG